GGGGACCUGGGCAACGGCGCCAGCGCGGGGCGGAGGGCCCUAAGUCUGCAGUCAGGAAAGUCGAGGCUCGGGACAGUCAUCCUUCAGAACAUAUGACUGCCAUGACUGGUCCGACACAAGCGGGAAGGACAGGCGUCUUUAAAAAAUGUGCAAGCGGGAGAGCCUUCGCUGUGCCAGUUUGUCGCACUGUCUCCGAUGAUUAACAGAAGAUCAGGCUGUCCCAUGACCCUCCUGGCAAGCCUGCGAGCAUUCAGAGGGAACUCACACACAUUCUUGAGCAGGCAGUGUGAGCAGGAACCUGCUGAUGACCCAGCAGUCAUGUCUGAAAAAACUAUGUCUAACAUGAGCUGCUGGAAAAUAUUAUCUGACACCUUCUUGCGAUGGAAUGACUUCAUGUUUUUUUUUAAAAGUUGAAAAGGAAUCAAGUAUGUAAGACCAUUUUUAGCUAGCUGUCCAGCCAGCUUCUUUUCUCCAAUCUUACAUUUUAAAAAAUAACUUUAAAGUAGCGUCGGCAUUAACUUAUAUUUGCUCAUAAUAAAAACCAAUGAAAUUUCU
rnacentral:lncRNA from 1 species